UGAGAUCACAGAAGUCUGAUUUAACGUUAAGUCAGCUGAAGCUAAUGACCCGUGAAACCAACGGUAACGUCAAAGUAAAGUUAUCUGAAGCCAGUCUUACCUUUAGUUCAAAGUUUCCUGUAGUUGAGUUAUUCCUAGAGAUUUCUUGUGCAGCGGAAUGAACCCGGAAUGAGACUCCUUCGGGAAUAAAACACGCCCAGUUGAGAUACAGGUAUGGAGGAGGUGAGGAGGUGGGACCGUUAGAGGAAGUAAGCUAACACGACCCCGCUCUGGAAUGCUACCAGGCUAAUGUGAGCUGUGUCACAACCUCGCAUUAGUACAAACGUUUUGUGUCUUAAUUAUUCAAAUUUCACAGAGCUGCAGUUUGUGCAUGACGUGGACUUUAUCUCCUGUCACAGCCUCUUGGUCAUGGGGUGAGCACGUGUGGGAAGCCUGCCACCCCCUGGUUUGUAUCGGGAAGCCAGAUGCCAGAGUCAGCUGCAGAAGAUCAGCCCUAGAAUUGGUCCUGUAUGCAGAGAAUGUCGGGUCUGGAUGUGGCCACAUGUAG
ensembl:lncRNA